GACGAACGCUGGCGGCGUGCUUAACACAUGCAAGUCGAACGGAAAGGCCCUGCUUGCCGGGUACUCGAGUGGCGAACGGGUGAGUAACACGUGGGUGAUCUGCCCUGCACUUCGGGAUAAGCUUGGGAAACUGGGUCUAAUACCGGAUAGGAGCCAUCUUUAGUGUGGUGGUUGGAAAGUUUUUUCGGUGUAGGAUGAGCUCGCGGCCUAUCAGCUUGUUGGUGGGGUAAUGGCCUACCAAGGCGGCGACGGGUAGCCGGCCUGAGAGGGUGUACGGCCACAAUGGGACUGAGAUACGGCCCAGAAUCCUACGGGAGGCAGCAGUGGGGAAUAUUGCAAAAUGGGCGCAAGCCUGAUGCAGCGACGCCGCGUGGGGGAUGAAGGCCUUCGGGUUGUAAACUCCUUUCGCUCGGGACGAAGCUUUUUGUGACGGUACCUAGAUAAGAAGCACCGGCUAACUACGUG
rnacentral:rRNA from 1 species